UACGUAGGGGGCAAGCGUUGUCCGGAUUUACUGGGCGUAAAGAGCGUGUAGGCGGUUUGGCAAGUCCGUUGUGAAAGCCGGGGGCUCAACCCUCGAAUGCCGGUGGAUACUGUCGGGCUAGAGUACGGAAGAGGCGAGUGGAAUUCCUGGUGUAGCGGUGAAAUGCGCAGAUAUCAGGAGGAACACCUAUUGCGAAGGCAGCUCGCUGGGACGUAACUGACGCUGAGACGCGAAAGCGUGGGGAGCAAACAGG
rnacentral:rRNA from 1 species